CCUACGGGUGGCUGCAGUGGGGGAUAUUGCACAAUGGGGGGAACCCUGAUGCAGCGACGCCGCGUGUGGGAAGACGGUCCUCUGGAUUGUAAACCACUGUCCCCAGGGACGAAAAUGACGGUACCUGGGGAGGAAGCUCCGGCUAACUACGUGCCAGCAGCCGCGGUAAUAGGUAGGGAGCGAGCGUUGUCGGGAAUUACUGGGUGAAAAGGGAGCGUAGGCGGGGAUGCAAGUUGGGUGUCAAACCUACCGGCUCAACUGGGAGUCGCACUCAAAACUGCAGCUCUUGAGUGAAGUAGAGGCAAGCGGAAUUCCUAGUGUAGCGGUGAAAUGCGUAGAUAUUAGGAGGAACACCAGUGGCGAAGGCGGCCUGCUGGGCUUUUACUGACGCUGAGGCUCGAAAGUGUGGGGAGCAAACAGGAUUAGAUACCCCAGUAGUC
rnacentral:rRNA from 1 species